UCGGUCCCUAUCUGCCGUGGGCGCUGGAGAAUUGAGGGGGGCUGCUCCUAGUACGAGAGGACCGGAGUGGACGCAUCACUGGUGUUCGGGUUGUCAUGCCAAUGGCAUUGCCCGGUAGCUAAAUGCGGAAGAGAUAAGUGCUGAAAGCAUCUAAGCACGAAACUUGCCCCGAGAUGAGUUCUCCCUGAGACUAUAAGUCUCCUGAAGGAACGUUAAAGACGAUGACGUUGAUAGGUCGGGUGUGUAAGCGUAGCGAUACGUUGAGCUAACCGAUACUAAUGAACCGUGAGGCUUAACCUU
rnacentral:rRNA from 1 species